AUUGAACGCUGGCGGCGUGCCUAAUACAUGCAAGUCGAACGCAGUGGGGACGGGUGAGUAACACGUUGGUAACCUCCCAUCAGAGGGGAAAACACUUGGAAACAGGUGCUAAACCGAUAUUGAUGGAUGGACCCGCGGUGCAUUACCUAGUUGGGUAGGUAACGGCUAACCAAGGCGACGAUGCAUAGCUGGCCUGAUAGGGGGAUAGGCCACAAUGGGACUGAGACACGGCCCAGACGCUGACGUGAGGCAGCAGUAGGGAAUAUUCGGCAAUGGACGAAAGUCUGACCGAGCAACGCCGAGUGAGUGAAGAAGGGUUUCGGAUCGUAAAACUCUGUUGUUAGAGAGGCGGUAUAUAACCAGAAAGCCGCGGCUAACGACGUGCCAGCCGCCGCGGUAAUUC
rnacentral:rRNA from 1 species